AGAGUUUGAUCCUGGCUCAGGAUGAACGCUAGCUACAGGCUUAACACAUGCAAGUCGAGGGGAAACGACAUCGAAAGCUUGCUUUUGAUGGGCGUCGACCGGCGCACGGGUGAGUAACGCGUAUCCAACCUGCCCACCACUUGGGGAUAACCUUGCGAAAGUAAGACUAAUACUCAAUGACGUCUCUAGAAGACAUCUGAAGGAGAUUAAAGAUUUAUCGGUGAUGGAUGGGGAUGCGUCUGAUUAGCUUGUUGGCGGGGUAACGGCCGACCAAGGCGACGAUCAGUAGGGGGUUCUGGAGAGGAAGGUCCCCCGACAUUGGAACUGAGACACGGUCCAAACUCCUACGGGAGGCA
rnacentral:rRNA from 1 species